GACGAACGCUGGCGGCGUGCUUAACACAUGCAAGUCGAACGGUGAAGCGCCUUCCUUUUUGGUGGGUGUGGAUGAGUGGCGAACGGGUGAGUAACACGUUAGUAACCUGCCCCCUUCUUCUGGAUAACCGCAUGAAAGUUUGGCUAAUACGGGAUAUUCUGGGUCUGUCGCAUGAUGGGUCUGGGAAAGAUAUUGUUUCGGUGGGGGAGGGGCUCGCGGCCUAUCAGCUUGUUGGUGGGGUGAUGGCCUACCAAGGCGGUGACGGGUAGCCGGCCUGAGAGGGUGGACGGUCACACUGGGACUGAGACACGGACAAGACUCCUACGGGAGGCAGCAGUGGGGAAUAGUGCACAAUGGGCGCAAGCCUGAUGCAGCGACGCCGCGUGAGGGAUGGAGGCCUGCGGGUUGUGAACCUCUUUCGCCAGUGAAGCAGGCCUGCCUAGUUUGUGGGUGGGUUGACGGUAGCUGGAGAAGAAGCGCCGGCUAACUACGUG
rnacentral:rRNA from 1 species